AAUGAAACCUUCGGGAGAAUCAUUUUUGGAACAAACGCAAUCCAGGAGACUUGGAGUGGACGUCAUGAUGAGGACAUCAAUACCAUUGUUACACCCACAGCCCUUGUUGCCGUACAAACUGGACCAAUUACUAGAGCUUGCGCACGCCAAUUAAAUUACCAGGUACUUUCGUGAUGAGGACAUCAAUACCGUUGUUACACCCACAACCCCUGCUGCUAUACAUACUGGACCAAUUACUAGAGCUCGCGCACGCCAAUUGAAUUACCAGGGCCUAGCUUGGAGAAGGAUGGACAUUGGAGCAAGAACAAGCAUGGAGAUGAUGGCAUGCACAAGGGGAACAAGAACGGAGUUACAAGUGAUGAUUUCAGGAUGUUGAAGCCAUCAUAAUGUAUGCAUGAAGCCUUGGACGAAAUAUACAAGAUGCCACUUCAUAACUUUCGUCCAGAGGGUAUUCUAGGUGCUGCGUCACCUUAUUAUUGGGCCAGGCCCAUGUAUUUUCGAAAUACUUCAGUAUAGGCUGUUUUUAGAGUCCGUAUGUGUGGGGAAACAAGAGAUAGGGUUGGUUUCGGACCUCUUCCCCAAGGGCCACGAAAUUCCCCCCCCC
rnacentral:rRNA from 1 species